AUUGAACGCUGGCGGCAUGCCUUACACAUGCAAGUCGAACGGCAGCACGGGGCAACCUGGUGGCGAGUGGCGAACGGGUGAGUAAUGCAUCGGAACGUACCUUUCAGUGGGGGAUAACGUAGCGAAAGUUACGCUAAUACCGCAUAUUCCGUGAGCAGGAAAGCAGGGGAUCGCAAGACCUUGCGCUGAUUGAGCGGCCGAUGUCAGAUUAGCUAGUUGGUGAGGUAAAGGCUCACCAAGGCGACGAUCUGUAGCGGGUCUGAGAGGAUGAUCCGCCACCCUGGAACUGAGACACGGUCCAGACUCCUACGGGAGGCAGCAGUGGGGAAUUUUGGACAAUGGGGGCAACCCUGAUCCAGCCAUGCCGCGUGAGUGAAGAAGGCCUUCGGGUUGUAAAGCUCUUUCGGCCGGGAAGAAAUCGCACGGGCUAAUACCCUGUGUGGAUGACGGUACCGGAAUAAGAAGCACCGGCUAACUACGUGCCAGCCGCCGCAGUAAGAC
rnacentral:rRNA from 1 species